AGCUUGAAAACCAAGACCUAGCCACCGCAAUUUACAAUUCAGUUCUGCAUUUUCCUUUGAAUUCAAAAGUUUUGCAUUGUUUACUUUAUUUUCAUCGUUGCUGCUCAUGGUUUAAUUCCAUUCAUUCAAUUUAAAUCUGCAGCCGCCGAUUGAUAUAUAAAUUGGAAAAACCUUAUUUCAUGCAAUUCUGAUGUUUCAAUUGUCUUUUAUUUCUUUUUUAAUUCACGUUGCUUCUUUCAUGUUGUUGUGCUCAUAUUUUGCUGCUAUGAUUUAAUUCUUAUGCAUAUUGUUUUCACUAUGGCCGAGGCUUUUGUUACUGCUGCUUAAUUACUUUC
rnacentral:lncRNA from 1 species